ACACUCAUCUAUUAAUCUGAUGAAAAAAAAGGACAGGACAAAAUACAUCUUAUUGGUAUAUGAGGUUUUUGUUCAAGCAGUGAAUGGAGAUGCAGCACUGUGAUUAUUUCGACUACUGGGGUAAAGGGACUGAUGUCACAGUAACAACAGAGUCAGCUGUGCCACCGACUGUGUUCCCUUUGAUUCAGUGCAAAUCUGGGUCUGGAGAUAAAAUCGCUGUUGGUUGUCUUGCAUACAACUUCUCCCCAAAGAAUCUUAAUUUCCAGUGGACUGAUGCCAGUGGGGCCGUCCUGACUUCAAUACAAUAUCCUCCUGCUGAGAAAAACAACAAAUAUACAGCAGCCAGUUUGAUCCAAGUAUCAAAAUCUGACUACGAUUCAAGGAAGUCUUUUAAAUGUUCAGUAACUCAUGGUGGAUCUGUAAAAACCCUGCAAGUGCCAAGUACGUAAUUUUAACUUU